rnacentral:rRNA from 1 species
AUUACUGGGCGUAAAGCGCACGCAGGCGGUCUGUCAAGUCGGAUGUGAAAUCCCCGGGCUCAACCUGGGAACUGCAUUCGAAACUGGCAGGCUUGAGUCUUGUAGAGGGGGGUAGAAUUCCAGGUGUAGCGGUGAAAUGCGUAGAGAUCUGGAGGAAUACCGGUGGCGAAGGCGGCCCCCUGGACAAAGACUGACGCUCAGGUGCGAAAGCGUGGGGAGCAAACAGGAUUAGAUACCCUGGUAGUCCACGCCGUAAACGAUGUCUACUUGGAGGUUGUGCCCUUGAGGCGUGGCUUCCGGAGCUAACGCGUUAAGUAGACCGCCUGGGGAGUACGGCCGCAAGGUUAAAACUCAAAUGAAUUGACGGGGGCCCGCACAAGCGGUGGAGCAUGUGGUUUAAUUCGAUGCAACGCGAAGAACCUUACCUGGUCUUGACAUCCACGGAAGUUUUCAGAGAUGAGAAUGUGCCUUCGGGAACCGUGAGACAGGUGCUGCAUGGCUGUCGUCAGCUCGUGUUGUGAAAUGUUGGGUUAAGUCCCGCAACGAGCGCAACCCUUAUCCUUUGUUGCCAGCGAUUAGGUCGGGAACUCAAAGGAGACUGCCAGUGAUAAACUGGAGGAAGGUGGGGAUGACGUCAAGUCAUCAUGGCCCUUACGACCAGGGCUACACACGUGCUACAAUGGCGCAUACAAAGAGAAGCGACCUCGCGAGAGCAAGCGGACCUCAUAAAGUGCGUCGUAGUCCGGAUUGGAGUCUGCAACUCGACUCCAUGAAGUCGGAAUCGCUAGUAAUCGUGGAUCAGAAUGCCACGGUGAAUACGUUCCCGGGCCUUGUACACACCGCCCGUCACACCAUGGGAGUGGGUUGCAAAAGAAGUAGGUAGCUUAACCUUCGGGAGGGCGCUUACCACUUUGUGAUUCAUGACUGGGGUGAAGUCGUAACAAGGUAACCGUAGGGGAACCUGCGGUUGGAUCACCUCCUUACCUUAAAGAA